rnacentral:rRNA from 1 species
CCAUUCUACGCGGUGGAUCACUCGGCUCGU